rnacentral:rRNA from 1 species
AGAGUUUGAUCAUGGCUCAGGAUUAACGCUAGCGGCAGGCCUAAUACAUGCAAGUCGUACGGUAACAGGUCCAGCAAUGGAUGCUGACGAGUGGCGCACGGGUGCGUAACACGUAUGCAACCUACCUUUGACUGGGGGAUAGCCCCGAGAAAUCGGGAUUAAUACCCCAUACAAUUACGAUGAGACAUCUCAUUGUAAUGAAAGCUCCGGCGGUCUUAGAUGGGCAUGCGCGACAUUAGCUAGUUGGUGAGGUAACGGCUCACCAAGGCUGCGAUGUCUAGGGGUUCUGAGAGGAUUCACCCCCACACUGGUACUGAGACACGGACCAGACUCCUACGGGAGGCAGCAGUAAGGAAUAUUGGUCAAUGGACUGCAAGUCUGAACCAGCCAUGCCGCGUGCAGGAAGACAGCCCUACGGGUUGUAAACUGCUUUUGUACGGGAAAAAACCUCCGGUCGUGCACCGGAGCUGAUGGUACCGUAAGAAUAAGCAUCGGCUAACUCCGUGCCAGCAGCCGCGGUAAUACGGAGGAUGCAAGCGUUAUCCGGAUUCAUUGGGUUUAAAGGGUGCGCAGGCGGAAUGAUAAGUCAGUGGUGAAAUCCUACGGCUCAACCGCAGAACUGCCAUUGAUACUGUCGUUCUUGAGUACACUUGAAGUGGGCGGAAUGUGUCAUGUAGCGGUGAAAUGCUUAGAUGUGACAAGGGAACACCGAUCGCGAAGGCAGCUCACUAAAAGUGUU